ACGGGAGGCAGCAGUGGGGAAUAUUGGACAAUGGGGGAGACCCUGGUCCAGCGACGCCGCGUGAGUGAAGAAGUAUUUCGGUAUGUAAAGCUCUAUCAGCAGGGAAGAUAAUGACGGUACCUGACUAAGAAGCCCCGGCUAACUACGUGCCAGCAGCCGCGGUAAUACGUAGGGGGCAAGCGUUAUCCGGAUUUACUGGGUGUAAAGGGAGCGUAGACGGAAGGCCAAGUCUGAUGUGAAAACCCAGGGCUCAACCCUGGGACUGCAUUGGAAACUGGUCAUCUAGAGUGCAGGAGGGGUAAGCGGAAUUCCUAGUGUAGCGGUGAAAUGCGUAGAUAUUAGGAGGAACACCAGUGGCGAAGGCGGCUUACUGGACUGUAACUGACGUUGAGGCUCGAAAGCGUGGGGAGCAAACAGGAUUAGAUACCCUGGUA
rnacentral:rRNA from 1 species